CCGAAGCAAUUAAGCCAACCAUGCUCCUUUCCUCAUGGGGGCCUAGUAUACAAUGACUGCAAACGGCAGCCUCCUUGAUAGUGUAUGCAGCUUGUUGCUUGUAUUGUUUGCUCUAAGGGACCUUGGAGACAUUC